UGGUAUGUAAAUAAACGGGUAUAUGAGUAAGCAGGUAGUUAGGUAGGUACACAAAUUAACAGGUAAAUCAGGCAAGCAGGAAGGCAAGUACAGGUUAAGGGAGAUAAACGAAGCAACAGAUGUGGGGAGAUAGCUAUUAGAACACAGGUAGAUUAUUACAGGUAGACAAAUUCAGUAUAAAAUAAUAAUAAUAAUAAUAAACAAUAGUAAGCAGGAAGGUAAGAAUAGCGUAAGGGAGGUAAACGGAGCAACAGGUGUGGGUAGAUAGCUAAUUAGAACACAGGUAGAUUAUUACAGGUAGACAAAUACAGUAUCUCCAAGUGGAUGUUUUUAUUCCAAAGUCACGCUGUAUAAAAUGAGAAAAUGACAAAGACAACUGAUUUUCUUAUUUAGGCCUAACACGUGGGGAGGAGGAGGAGGGAGGAAGGGGAGAGGGGAGGAAGGGGGGAAAUGGGGAGAGGAGAAUGCUUGGAAGAGGGAGAAAGAGGAGAGGGGAAAAGGGGAAGAAGGGAAUGACGAAGGAGAUGAGGAGGGGAAAAGGAGGAGGAAGAGAGGAUGGGGAGAGAUGAAGAAGGGGGAGAGUAAGAGAAGAUAAGAACUGAAGGGAAAGAGAGAGGAAGAGGAGGAAGAAGGGGAGAAGAGGGGAAGAAGAGGAGGAGGAAGCAGGAAGAGGAUUGUAGAUGGAAGAGAGGGAGAGGAAAAGGAAAUAACAACUAAAGGGAAAGAAGGAGGAGGAAGGAGGAGGGAGAGGAAGGGGAGGGAAAAAGGAAGAGGAAGAAGGAAAAAAAAGAUUAAAAAACAGAAAAAGAAAAAAAUAGGAAUAUAUUCACUUAAUUUAAACACAUUAUUAUUAUUAUCACACGAGGAGGAGGAGAGAGAGAGGGUGAGGGAGGGAGGAAAGGGA